AAACAAAUAGGUUUGUUCCUGGCCUUUCUAUUAACUCUCAGUAAGAUUACACAUGAAAGCAUCCCCACGCCAGUGAAAAUACCCUCUAGAUCAUCCGGAUCAAAAGGAACAAGUUUCAAACACAUACAAAUGCAGCUCAAAAUGCUUUACUCAACCACACCCCCACGGGAAACAGCAGUGAUAAAUCGUUGGCAAUAAACGAAAGUUUAAGCUACACUGAUAUUUAGGGUUGGUCAAUUUUGUGCCAGCCACCGCAGCCAUAUGAUUAGCCCAAGCUAAUAGAACUCAGUGUAAAGAGUGUUUAAGGUUUGCCUUCAAUAAAGCUAUACUCCAUGUAAGUCGUGAAAAAUUCCAGCUGAAAUAAAAUAUACUACGAAAGUGCCUUUAAUAUCCUCAAGACACAAUAGCUAAGACCCAAACUGGGAUUAGAUACCCCACUAUGCUUAGCCCUAAGCUCUAAUAAUUAAACUAAUGAAACCAUUUGCCAGAAUACUACAGGCAACAGCUUAAAACUCAAAGGACUUGGCGGUGCUUUAUAUCCCUCUAGAGGAGCCCGUUCUAUAAUCGAUAAACCCAUAUAUACCUCACCACCUCUUGCCGCCAGCCUAUACACCGCAAUCUUCAGUAAACCCUAAAAAGGUAAUAAAGUAAGCACAAGUACAUGCAUAAAAACAUUAGGUCAAGGUGUAGCCCAUGAGGUGGCAAGAAAUGGGCUACAUUUUCUAUACCUAGAAAAUCUUAUGACAACCCUUAUGAAAUCUAAGGGCUCAAGGAGAUUUUAGCAGUAAACCAAGAGCAGAGUGCUUGGUUGAAUAAGGCCAUGAAGCACGCACACACCGCACAUCGCCGUCCUCUAAUGUUGUUCUAAAAAUUAUUAUAGCUAAAACUCUCCAUGCACAUUCAGAGGAAAUAAGUCAAAGUAACAUGGUAAGCAUACUGGAAAGUGCGCUUGGACAAAUCAAAGU
rnacentral:ncRNA from 1 species